rnacentral:rRNA from 1 species
CCUACGGGUGGCAGCAGUGAGGAAUAUUGGUCAAUGGACGAGAGUCUGAACCAGCCAAGUAGCGUGAAGGAUGACUGCCCUAUGGGUUGUAAACUUCUUUUAUAUGGGAAUAAAACGUUCCACGUGUGGGAUUUUGUAUGUACCAUAUGAAUAAGGAUCGGCUAACUCCGUGCCAGCAGCCGCGGUAAUACGGAGGAUCCGAGCGUUAUCCGGAUUUAUUGGGUUUAAAGGGAGCGUAGGUGGAUUGUUAAGUCAGUUGUGAAAGUUUGCGGCUCAACCGUAAAAUUGCAGUUGAAACUGGCAGUCUUGAGUUCAGUAGAGGUGUGCGGAAUUCGUGGUGUAGCGGUGAAAUGCUUAGAUAUCACGAAGAACUCCGAUUGCGAAGGCAGUUCACUGGACUGCAACUGACACUGAGGCUCGAAAGUGUGGGUAUCAAACAGGAUUAGAUACCCCAGUAGUC